AAGUCGUAACAAGGUCUCCGUUGGUGAACCAGCGGAGGGAUCAUUAAAAGAAGCCGAAAGGCUACUUCAAACCAUCGCGAACUCGUCCCAGUUGCUUCGGCGGAGCCGGCUCCCCCCCGGGGGGCCGCCCGCCGGAGGUCACAAACUCUAUUGUAUUACAGUGGCAUCUCUGAGUAAAACACAAAUAAGUUAAAACUUUCAACAACGGAUCUCUUGGUUCUG
rnacentral:misc_RNA from 1 species